AUUGAACGCUGGCGGCAGGCCUAACACAUGCAAGUCGAGCGAGCGGCGGACGGGUGAGUAAUGUAUGGGGACUGCCCGAUAGAGGGGGAUAACUACUGGAAACGGUAGCUAAUACCGCAUACUAUCGGAUAACCCAUAUGGGAUUAGCUAGUAGGUGGGGUAAUGGCUCACCUAGGCGACGAUCCCUAGCUGGUCUGAGAGGAUGAUCAGCCAAACUGGGAAUGAGACACGGCCCAGACUCCUACGGAGGCAGCAGUGGGGAAUAUUGCACAAUGGGCGCAAGCCUGAUGCAGCCAUGCCGCGUGUAUGAAGAAGUCCUUCGGGUUGUAAAGUACUUUCAGUCGGGAGGCGUUACCGACAGAAGAAGCACCGGCUAACUCCGUGCCAGCCGCCGCGGUAAUUC
rnacentral:rRNA from 1 species